rnacentral:rRNA from 1 species
AAGUCGUAACAAGGUUUCCGUAGGUGAACCUGCGGAAGGAUCAUUACCGAAUUGUCAACACGAGUUGUUGCUGGUCCUCAAACGGGGGGCAUGUGCACGCUCUGUUUACACAUCCACUCACACCUGUGCACCCUCUGUAGUUCUGUGGCAUGGGGGACUCUGUCCUGCUGUCGUGGUUCUGCGUCUUUACACACACACUGUAACGAAGUCUCAUGGAAUGUAUGCCGCGUUUAACGCAAUACAAUACAACUUUCAGCAACGGAUCUCUUGGCUCUCGCAUCGAUGAAGAACGCAGCGAAAUGCGAUAAGUAAUGUGAAUUGCAGAAUUCAGUGAAUCAUCGAAUCUUUGAACGCACCUUGCGCCCUUUGGCUAUUCCGAAGGGCAUGCCUGUUUGAGUAUCGUGAACACCUCAACUCUCGUGGUUCGCUACGAUGAGCUUGGACUUUGGGGGUCUUGCUGGCCUGUGGUCGGCUCCUCUCAAAUGAAUCAGCUUCCCAGUGUUUGGUGGCGUCGCAGGUGUGAUAACUAUCUACGCUUGUGGUUUUCCACCAGAUAACCUUCAGUGAUGGAGGUUCGCUGGGGCUCAUAAACGUCUUUCCUCAGUGAAGACAGCUUUUUGAACGUUGAUCUC